rnacentral:rRNA from 1 species
CAGCAGCCGCGGUAAUACGUAGGGGGCAAGCGUUGUCCGGAUUUAUUGGGCGUAAAGAGCGUGUAGGCGGCCAGGUAGGUCUGCUGUGAAAACUCGAGGCUUAACCUCGAGAUGUCGGCGGAAACCAUCUGGCUAGAGUCCGGAAGAGGAGAAUGGAAUUCCCGGUGUAGCGGUGAAAUGCGCAGAUAUCGGGAAGAACACCCGUGGCGAAGGCGGUUCUCUGGGACGGUACUGACGCUGAGACGCGAAAGCGUGGGGAGCGAACAGGAUUAGAUACCCUGGUAGUCCACGCCGUAAACGAUGGGUGCUAGGUGUGGGAGGUGUCGACUCCUUCCGUGCCGCAGCUAACGCAUUAAGCACCCCGCCUGGGGAGUACGGCCGCAAGGCUAAAACUCAAAUGAAUUGACGG